rnacentral:rRNA from 1 species
AUUGAACGCUGGCGGCAGGCCUAACACAUGCAAGUCGAACGAGCGGCGGACGGGUGAGUAAUGUCUGGGAAACUGCCUGAUGGAGGGGGAUAACUACUGGAAACGGUAGCUAAUACCGCAUACCAUCAGAUGUACCCAUAUGGGAUUAGCUUGUGGGUGGGGUAAAGGCGCACCUAGGCGACGAUCCCUAGCUGGUCUGAGAAGAUGACCAGCCCCACGGUAACUAGGACACGGACCAGAAUCCUACGGGAGGCAGCAGUGGGGAAUAGUGCCCAAUGGGCGCAAGCCUGAUGCAGCCAUGCCGCGUGUAUGAAGAAGGCCUUAAGGUUGUAAAGUACUUUCAGCGGGGAGGAGUUACCCGCAGAAGAUGCACCGGCUAAAUCCGUGCAAGCAGCCGCGGUAAUAC